AGAGUUUGAUCCUGGCUCAGAAUCAACGCUGGCGGCGUGCCUCAGACAUGCAAGUCGAACGAUUAAAGCUCUCUUCGGAGAGUGUAUAGAGUGGCGCACGGGUGAGUAACACGUAAGUAAUCUACCUUCGAGUGGGGAAUAACGUCCGGAAACGGACGCUAAUACCGCAUAAUGCAGCGGCAUCGCAAGAUGACAGUUGUUAAAGAUUUAUCGCUUGAAGAGGAGCUUGCGGCAGAUUAGCUAGUUGGUAAGGUAAUGGCUUACCAAGGCUACGAUCUGUAACCGGUCUAAGAGGACGGUCGGUCACACUGACACUGAAUAACGGGUCAGACUCCUACGGGAGGCAGCAGUCGGGAAUUUUGGGCAAUGGGCGAAAGCCUGACCCAGCAACGCCGCGUGAAGGAUGAAGUAUUUCGGUAUGUAAACUUCGAAAGAAUGGGAAGAAUAAAUGACGGUACCAUAUAAG
rnacentral:rRNA from 1 species